UACGGAGGGAGCUAGCGUUAUUCGGAAUUACUGGGCGUAAAGCGCACGUAGGCGGCUUUGUAAGUUAGAGGUGAAAGCCUGGAGCUCAACUCCAGAACUGCCUUUAAGACUGCAUCGCUUGAAUCCAGGAGAGGUGAGUGGAAUUCCGAGUGUAAAGGUGAAAUUCGUAGAUAUUCGCAAGAACACCAGUGGCGAAGGCGGCUCACUGGCCCGGUACUGACACUGAGGUGCGAAAGCGUGGGGAGCAAACAGG
rnacentral:rRNA from 1 species